UUUUUUUCCAGCUGAAGCCUCCUAGACUAAGAUUUUCUUCCCCUGAGGUGUCUCUGAGUUUCUGAGUGUCACAUGUGGCCUGGCUAUCUGUACUUCCCCAAGAAGACUGAAUCAAAUGUCUCGUUGGUUUUUAAAUCCCUUUGGCCAGACCAAUCUCCAGGGACCUGAUUAAGCUCUAAUGUAGGAGCUCCUCCUCUGAUGAUUCAGCUAAGAACUACGGAUGUCAACACUAAGCAAAGCUGGUGACCCUCCUUGAUGUGUCUUGGCCUCCAUUUUACCUGAGGCUUCAAGAGCAAAGCUGAGCUUCCUGGAAUAAAAGCCACUCUCUCUCGGGACAGCUGCUUCAGCAUCUUCUAGGUUCCAGCUUCCUACCUGCCAGGAGCUCUGGAUGCCAGUCCUGUGGCCAGGAAAGCCAGUUCUUUAUAAUCAACCUCUGGAUGCCAGUCCUGUGGCCAGGAAAGCCAGUUCUUUAUAAUCAACCUCUGGAUGCCAGUCCCGUGGCCAGGAAAGCCAGGAAAGCCAGUUCUUUAUAAUCAACCUCUGGAUGCCAGUCCCGUGGCCAGGAAAGCCAGUUCUUUAUAAUCAACCUCUGGAUACCAGUCCAGUGGCCAGGAAAGCCAGUUCUUUAUGAUCAACCUCUGGAUGCCAGUCCAGUGGCCAGGAAAGCCAGUUCUUUAUGAUCAACCUCUGUAUACCAGUCCCGUGGCCAGGAAAGCCAGCUCUUUAUAAUCAACCUCUGUUUGCUUCCAUGGAGAAUACCCAGACUUUUCAACUUUCAGUGGAGUCACCAGGACAGACUCCUAGUCCUGAAUAAGCCAACAAGCCCCUGGUCUGUUUCCUGUGACACAAGCUGUUCUUCUCUCCACACACACCAUGUGUGGUCUGUUCGUUAUGGUGUCACGAUAGUCCUGUCUCCUCCAUAGUGCCUUUCUGAACCCACUCUUUGACACGGAUCCCAGAAGAUCAUUUGGCCACAGUAGAUUCUCACCUGAUGCCUGUGUCUUUGUACAGCUGACCCCAUUUUUCACUUUUUGUUUUCCCAGUGUGGGAUCUCAUAUACAGAGAAUGCCUUUC